GCCCCCGCUGCAUUAUGCCUUCGAUUCGAUAGCCUGUUGGGAGGGGAGUUUUGCUGGCAGGUACCCCAAUGUUGGUUAGGGAGAAGGAGCUGAUCACCAGGCUUCCCAGCAAGAGCCCAGCCCUGACAGAAGGACAGGAAAUCCCUCCAGCAGCACUGCAAAAGAGGCUCCUGUGGGUCUGUACUUUCAUCCUCCACAGCUACUGCAGGCAGUCUGACAAUGGGCAAGACAGACCUUUAGUGACCAGGACAAUUGCUGGCUGAUCAUGAAACAAAAUCACAUGCAAUGACUGUAGUAACCAGAGAUUUCCAGCCUUUUCUGUUUAUGUUAUGUGCAAGGAGGGCUUUGUAGUCUCAUUAUCUCAUUUUAAUCACAAAUAAAAGAUGACAGGGCUAUG